UUGAGGGUUACUGAGCCUGGCUGAGGAGAAUGUGUCACCAGAGCAGCACAGAGGCAGGGGUGGACCAGCAGUUACAUCGAGGUAGAUCCUUGUGUUAACAGGAAAAACACUUGGAGUCUCCAACACCACUGCUAUCCAGGCAUCCAUUCAUUCAAUUGAAGUGAUCGAAUCCAGGAUAGGACCAGCAGCCCCAGUAGUCCUGGGAGGUCAGUCAGAGAUCGGGACCAGGAAGCUUUUACUGCAGGGCCUCUCUGGAGUGUGGAUGGGAUUCUGGGAUUACUCAGCCCCUAAGAGCAUGGGGACUACAUGGAUGCAGAGAUGAUAACCUUCAUGGUCUUUUAGAGCUGGAGGUAAGUGUUGAAUUGGCCAUCUCUUUCCCUCCUUACAUCUUAUACACAGAGAGAACUGAGGUUCAGAGGAGUGAACUCAGUGCUGGCAUCAGCUAGUUUGAUCAUAACCAGGAGUAGAGCUCAGGUCUCCAGGUCCUGAGCCUGUGUCCUCUACCCCACAUCUACUUCCCUAAACUUCUUCCCAGAGGCCUUCUGAAGGUGGGUGGGGGUGGGGAGUUGACUCCUCAGGCACGUGGAGAUCAUCUCACUAAAAUUGAGAUUACAGCACCGUUUCCCCAGGCAGCAUGGGUGUGCUACCUUUUACUGUAGGGAGGCCUCUACCAGGCAUUCUGCUACAGCCGAGCACCUAGCCUCUAUCUUGUUUCCAUCAACAUAAUCUGUUCGCAACAUGAGAUUGGGCUUUUCCCUGGCCCCUUAUCACUAAUAGGAUCAGCGGAUUCUGCAGGAUGUGGGGAGCUGCAGUGAGCAUGCUCAGUCGGGGAAGCCGCUGUCUCAGAAACCGCAGCUCAGCUGGGUAUACACCAAGCUUUUGUAUUCAGGAGAGGAGAGUUCACCAGGAUUCGUCUCUCUCUCCUGGACCGCUUUAGCUCAGGCUGUAGCUCUAACUCAAAGCCCUGUCAACCAGAGGACGGUUUGGUUAGUGCCUCGUAGAGCCUCCACCGAGUCGUCGCCAUCUUACUUUUGGAAGCUUCUCUCAUCAUAUAUAACAUUUAUCUCACUUUAGGCCGUCAAUGUGUUUGCCAUAGGCACUUCUGGCUUGUACCUGAUAAAGAAGUCUCACACGGGAAAGGAAGAAGCCGAAUGGAGCUCCCACUUCGGGUCUGCUGCUUGUUAGCUGUGCACCCUUGGUUUUUUAGGACUGGGCUUUGAAAUGUCUUCACUUCUGGAAGGCUCUUCCCCACUGACCCCACCCAGGACUUCCGCUCAUAGGAUGGCACUACCUGUAUUAAGGGCACAUCUUUCCUCCUCAGGUAAACUUCUCUGGAAAGGCAUCUCCUAAGUGACUCCAAAAUCAAGUAAACUUGACAAUAAAGACAAAUCAAAUUCACCAAAACAAUUUCCCCUCCUCUUCCUGGAUGGCCAUUCGGCUGGAUACUGUUUCUUAGGCUUUCUCUAGUUGGGUGGCUUUCAUGGUGGCAUGUUCUAAUCAUAAGAAGGCAGAAGUUAUAGAUGAUGUGCUUUCUGGGCUAAGGCUUAUGUCCGUUUACCCCCCCCCCCACUGUGUUAUUGAGACAUAAUUGGUAUGCAGUGAGGUGCUCCUUUCCGGCACAUAGGUUGGUACAUAGCUUUUCACUGCUAGGUCAUGUAGACCACCAAAUGUGCCUCCUAAAGUACAUUUUCCUGCUCAUAUGAUAAAUUUCUCAUGCCCCAAUUGGGGGUUGGUGGAAGCCAGUGAAUUCUAGGAUAUAAAUGGCCUCAUUUGACAUACAGUGUUGGGCUGGGUGUUUUUCUUCACAUGAUUUGAAAAUUCAUCUAUGUUCUUUGGAUUGGUAAUCCCACCCCUUUCCUGUUGGGCAGCCUUCCAUUGUAUGAACGUGCUAUACUCUGUGAUAGACAUUUGGCUUGCUUGCCCUUUUGGCUACAGUGGUUGAAGUUAGCAUACCUGUGUCUAAUCUCCAAGCGAAUCUAUACUUUCUGUCCCCUGUAAUGAAACCUCUGAGUCACACAAGUGCAAAUUUAACUGCUAAGCUGUUUCCAGUGACUGUUCCUGUCCAGUCAGUAACAUAGGAGAGUUACAGUAUCCCACUGUCACCAACACUUGAUAACUCCAGCCUACUGGUGUGUGUGGGUGUAUCCUGGUAUUCAUUGUGGUUUAACCUGCAUUUUUCUUGAUCACUAAUUCUAUUAAACAUUUUCAAUGUGUUUCUUGGCCAUUUGAGUAUCAGUUCUUGUAAAUCCCUUAAAAACAUUUCGCUCAUUUCAUUUACUGUCAAUGGCUAACUACUAUUGAGUUUGAAUGCACAUUGGAUGAAAGACAUUUGCCAGGUAUAUAUCUGACCAAACAGUUUUCUUUGUUGCUUGUCCUCUCAUUCUGUUGAUAGAAUCCAUUGAAAUGGAGACGUGUUAAUUUCUAUACAGUCCAGUUCAUGGGCCUAUUGACAUUAUUGAUCAUUUGUCUUUGUGGUGUUCUACCUUACAUAUCUUUUCUUCUGGGUCAUUAAGUCAAACGUAUACAAAAAUAUAUAUUCUCUUCUGCCUCCUUGUUCCAUCUUCUCCAACUUUCAUAAAACCCUGGGGCAUAGAAAAGGCGUAAGACAAAAAGUAUCUGGAACCCUGGGACCUAGUCAUGAGGGAGAGUCACUAGCCAGGACUAUGUCUUCAGGCUGGAAAGCUCGAGGUAGGGAUGAAUGCCAAUUACGUUUGAACCAUUAACUUUUGCAUGUCUAUUUGUGCGUUUUGUUUGUUUGUUUUUCAAGACAGGAUUUCUCUGCGUAGCUCUGGCUGUCCUGGAACUACCUCUGUGGACCAGGCUGGUCAAACUGCCUCUACCUCAGAACUGCUGGGAUUAAAGGUGAAAGGAGCCACUCCCAGCCUUGCAGGACUGCGUGGUAUGGCAGUCUGGUCUGCUCUAGAUCAUAACUGUUUCUCCAGUGUGCAGAUUCUGUGCUUUACCCAGUAGUCUCCAGUGAGGUUCUGGCAUGAAUUGGAGGAUCACUGCCCUUCAGCACUCCUCCACGUCUCUAAGCUUCCUCUUUUGAACCAGCCAGAGAGGACAAUUAACUCUGAGGAGUGUUCGUGUAUAUUAUUUGUGCAUUCGGACUGGCUUCUAAAUUGCACUUAGGUGGGGUUGGGAGGACUUGGUGCUGUCCCUGUUCCCUUUCCAUUCAAAGCAGAGAUGCCGUCAGCCUCCUCUGAUUGUCUUCAUUUGUGCUGUUCAUUCCUUCAUCACCCAAUCCUGCCUGUCAGUUUCUGUCUCUCCAUUGGCUUCGUCUCUAGGGGAUUGUCUUCUAGUUCUGCCUUACCACGGUAGUAUCGUGUUUCCUAAACAAGGCUGAAUUUUCCCCACACUGGCUCCCCACUGGGUGCUUUGUUACUGUAGUACAGAUCCAUAAUGCGUCAGUCCCUCAUCUCUUCUAUAAUUUUAUUCCUGCCACUUUUCAUUUGUUUUACUUGUUGAGUAGAAGCAGAUAAUAAAACCCAUUGUAGUUACUUUUCUGUUGCUGUGAUAAAAGGCCAUGACCAAAAGCAACUUAAAGGAAGAAAAAGAUUGGUUUUGUUCAUGGUUCUGGAGAGCUAGAGUCUAUAAUAUCAGGAAAGGCAGGGUGUGCAGGCAGAUGAGAG
rnacentral:sRNA from 1 species